rnacentral:rRNA from 1 species
UUCGCAAUGCCCGAAAGGGUGACGAAGCGACGCCGCGUGUGGGAAGAAGGCCUUCGGGUUGUAAACCACUGUCGGGAGUUAAGAAAUGCAAGGAUAUGAAUAGUGUCUUUGCUUGACUAAGGCUCCGGAGGAAGCCACGGCUAACUCUGUGCCAGCAGCCGCGGUAAUACAGAGGCGGCAAGCGUUGUUCGGAAUUAUUGGGCGUAAAGAGCACGUAGGCGGCUUUGCAAGUCAGUUGUGAAAGCCUUCCGCUUAACGGAAGAACAGCAGCUGAUACUACAAGGCUUGAGUACGGAAGGGGAGAGUGGAACUUCUGGUGGAGCGGUGAAAUGCGUAGAUAUCAGAAGGAACGCCGGCGGCGAAAGCGACUCUCUGGCCCGUAACUGACGCUGAGUGUGCGAAAGCUAGGGGAGCAAACGGGAUUAGAUACCCCGGUAGUCCUAGCCGUAAACGAUGGGCACUAAGUAGAGGGGUUUU